AUUGAACGCUGGCGGCAGGCCUAACACAUGCAAGUCGAGCGAGCGGCGGACGGGUGAGUAAUGUCUGGGAAACUGCCUGAUGGAGGGGGAUAACUACUGGAAACGGUAGCUAAUACCGCAUACCAUCAGAUGUGCCCAGAUGGGAUUAGCUCGUAGGUGGGGUAAUGGCUCACCUAGGCGACGAUCCCUAGCUGGUCUGAGAGGAUGACCAGACACACUGGAACUGAGACACGGGCCAGAAUCCUACGGGAGGCAGCAGGGGGGAAUGUUGCACAAUGGGCGCAAGCCUGAUGCAGCCAUGCCGCGUGUGGGAAGAAGGACUUCGGGUUGUAAAGCACUUUAAGCGGGUAGGCGUUACCCGCAGAAGAAGCACCGGCUAACUCCGUGCCAGCAGCCGCGGUAAUUC
rnacentral:rRNA from 1 species